rnacentral:lncRNA from 1 species
AGAAAAAGACUUCAGGACUGGAAGCGCUCUUACCCCAAGAUCGGAUGAAGACGGAAUCUAUUUCAGUCUGAAAUUUGUGUUUCAUGGCUGCAGUUGGACAUUCCUCUGAUUUC